AUUGAACGCUGGCGGCAGGCCUAACACAUGCAAGUCGAACGGUAGCACAGGAGAGCUUGCUCUCUGGGUGACGAGUGGCGGACGGGUGAGCAAUGCAUGGGGAGCUGCCCAAUCGAGGGGGAUACCAGCUGGAAACGGCUGCUAAUACCGCAUACGCCCUGAGGGGAAAGGUGGGGACCUUCGGGCCUACCGCGAUUGGAUGCACCCAUGUGGGAUUAGCUAGUUGGUGAGGUAACGGCUCACCAAGGCGACGAUCUCUAGCUGGUCUGAGAGGAUGACCAGCCACACUGGAACUGAGACACGGUCCAGACUCCUACGGGAGGCAGCAGUGGGGAAUAUUGCACAAUGGGGGAAGCCUGACCCAGCAACGCCGCGUGGAGGAAGACGGCCUCGGUUGUAACUCCUUUACGGGGAAGAGGAAGGACGGUACCCGACGAAUAAGUACACGGCUAACUACGUGCCAGCAGCCGCGGUAAU
rnacentral:rRNA from 1 species